GGCAAAUCUUGCAGAAAGUGGCAGAACUUCUUGAAGGAUCAAAUGCUAGGAAGAAAAAAUUGGUUCAAACUGCAAUCAAUGACCUCCGAGAAAGUGCUUACGACCGAACCAGCAAACUAAAACAAGAGAUGUCAACCAUGCAAGAUUCAACUAAUUCAGUCAAAGACGAAUGGACCAAUUAUAUGGGAAAGGCUGAAUGCCAUUAUCUUGAGGAUACUGCUUCUGUGGAAAAGGGAAAGAAAGAGAUGGAGAAGGUGCUACAGAAUUGUCUGCAAAAGGCAAAAUUGGGUGCUGAACAAUGGACGAAUGCUCAACGCUCUUUGAUCAGUCUAGAGGAAAGAAAUGUUGCGUUUAUGGAUAAAAUUGUUAGUGAAGGAAUGAAUGCCAAUGAAGAACUGCGUGCACAGUUUUCGUCUGGUGUGUCAUCUACUCUUGAAGACACUGAUGUUGCCAGCAAAAGCCUUCUCUGUUCCAUUGACAAUUCUUUACAACUUGACCGUGAUGCUUGUGGGAAUCUUGAUUCCAUGAUUGUUCCUUCUUGUGGAGAGCUGAGAGAAUUGAAGAGUGGACACCACCACAAGGUUGUUG
rnacentral:misc_RNA from 1 species